rnacentral:rRNA from 1 species
UACGAAGGGGGCUAGCGUUGUUCGGAAUUACUGGGCGUAAAGCGCACGUAGGCGGCCAUUUAAGUCAGGGGUGAAAUCCCAGAGCUCAACUCUGGAACUGCCCUUGAUACUGGGUGUCUUGAGUAUGGAAGAGGUGGGUGGAAUUCCGAGUGUAGAGGUGAAAUUCGUAGAUAUUCGGAGGAACACCAGUGGCGAAGGCGGCUCACUGGUCCAUUACUGACGCUGAGGUGCGAAAGCGUGGGGAGCAAACAGG